GGAUUUGGGUCGCAUCAAUGCGCACCCGAGUUUAAGAAAGUAAUAUAAAUAAAUCGUGCCUAAAGAUUCAAACGUAGUAUUAUUUCGGAAAAGGCCGUAAAAUUCGCUAAACGACUCUCCCAGAUUCUAAUUGUUUCGAUAACCAGUUAUUGAGGGCCCCGUAAUUUGUAAUUUUAGUUGGCAAGGCUCAUCUCAUCUUUAUUUUAAAAGGGAAGCUUAAAAGCAACUACGAUUUCCUAUUUUUGUUUUUGUUUUUCUUUAGUCUCUUAACAAACAAAACUAACAAUCAGAUAAACUACUUUAAUUGAACAACCCAAAGCUUCUGAUUUCUCAGACUUUCAGGCCCAAUGAAUCAAGCGUAUUAAUAAGCCAACUCCCAGCUCAAGCAACGGGGACUGCCUCAGAUAGAACCCAGGCUGAAACUCCAAAUUUCGAGCACUGGAGGGCAUGGGCUUUAAGCGUAGCCCAGCGACCUCAACCCGUUGGAAAUAUGUGGAAGGCCAUCAAACCCCCGCCGUAGAAAAAUGAAGAAGUAAUAUUUAAAGCAAAAAAUUAUUGAAAAUACUUAUGCACUGAGUUUAUACCAUGUUAUAAACAAUAACGAAGAAGAGCUUCAUAUUUGAAAAUCAUGGUAGAAUAUUAAUAAUUAAUAAAAUUAGCAAGAAAACUCACAGAUUGAGCUCCAAUUCUUAAAUGACACUUAUACCCUCUGCCAUAGAAAAAUGAAGGAGUAAUAAUUAAAGCCAAAAAUUGUUCAAAAUACUUAUGCUUUGAGUUUAUACCAAGUUAUGAACAAUAACGAAGAAGAGCUUCAUAUUUGAAAAUCAGAAAAUCAUGGUAGAAUAUUAAUAAUUAAUAAAAUUAGCAACAAAACUCGCAGAUUGAACUCAAAUUCUUAAAUGAUACUUAUACAAAAAUUAAAACAAGGCUUAAAUAGAAAGCUACGAUUUUCUAUUUUUGUUUUUCAUUAGUCUCUUAACAAACAAAACUAACAAUCAGAUCAACUUCUUUAUUUGAACAACCCAAAGCUUCUGAUUUCCCAGACUUUCAGGCCCAAUGAAUCAAGCCUAAUAAUAAGCCAACUCCCAGCUCAAGCAACGAGGAGUGCCUCAGAUCGAACCCAGGCUGAAAAUCCAAAAUUCGAGCAUUGGAGGCCAUGGGCUUUAAGCGUAGCCCAGCGACCUCAACCCGUUGGAAAUAUGUGGAAGGCCAUCAAACCCCCGCCGUAGAAAAAUGAAGAAGUAAUAUUUAAAGCAAAAAAUUAUUGAAAAUACUUAUGCACUGAGUUUAUACCAUGUUAUAAACAAUAACGAAGAAGAGCUUCAUAUUUGAAAAUCAUGGUAGAAUAUUAAUAAUUAAUAAAAUUAGCAAGAAAACUCACAGAUUGAGCUCCAAUUCUUAAAUGACACUUAUACCCAAAUUAAAACAAGGCUUAAAUUGAUGCAUCUCCAACAUACAUCCAACGAGCACGGAUGACCAAGGUGAUUGCAUUUCAUCCCCAAAUUGUGGUUAUAUCAAGAAUAUUUCAAGAGUGUACCUGGAAAUUGGAAUGUAAAUAGAGAAGGAGAGGUUAGCUGCAGUAAAAACUUAGCAGUAGCUCGAAAAAUAGAUUAUAACUCAGUCACAGUAAGUGAAGUAGUAGCACGGUCACACCGAGGUUCAACAAUUCAGAAGAAAUGAGUUGAAAAGCAAAGAAAAUCCAAUAAAUAAACCCAAGCAGCCUUAAUUUAGUCCCAGAAUGACUCGAACAAACAGACUAGAGCAGACCUCAACCCUAAGCACCCAGGCAACAAAAGAAAUAGAUUCAGAUUCGAGUGUAACCAGUGUCUAACCCUCAGCUACCCAUUGUUGAACUAGGAAUUCAAAAUAAAUUACCCAAACCUUGAAAUUAGACCAAAGAUAUCAAUGAAAUAGUAAUUUUUUUUGUGUUUCUGUAUUUGUUUGUUUUUUUUUUUUGUGUUUUGGGAUUUGAAUUUCUACCUUAGAUUUCGAAGAGACUAAUCUAAGAGAGAAGUUCGAAUUACAAAUUGCAAAAAUCUGGAGAUCUUAAAAUUAGAGUGUCAAGAGUAUUUCGAGGCUAAUAUUGGCUGAAAAAGAGAAGACCCUUUCACAAGGAAAUGCAAUACCUAUUUAUAGGUAAACAAGCAAAUCUUUUAUUUUCUUUUAGUC
rnacentral:lncRNA from 1 species